UACAGCCACAUCAUGAUGAAACAGCGGUUCCUGUACAAUCACCGAAGUUAAGCAACGUCAAGCCUGGUCAGUACCUAGACGGUUGACCAUUUGAGAAUACCAGGUGUUGUAA